GCUCUGGCUUCGGCAGCACAGAUACUAAAAUUGGAACGAAACAGAAGAUGAGCAUGGCCUCUGCAAGGGUGACAUGCAAAUUUGUGAAGUAUUCAAAAAAUUU